rnacentral:rRNA from 1 species
UACAGAGGGUGCGAACGUUGCUCGGAAUUACUGGGCGUAAAGCGCAUGUAGGCGGAUCCAUAAGUCGGGCGUGAAAUCCCCAGGCUCAACCUGGGAACUGCGCUCGAAACUGUGGGUCUCGAGUGUCGGAGAGGAUGGCGGAAUUCCUGGUGUAGAGGUGAAAUUCGUAGAUAUCAGGAGGAACACCGGUGGCGAAGGCAGGUCUCUGGGCCGAUACUGACGCUGAGGAGCGAAAGCGUGGGGAGCGAACAGG